rnacentral:rRNA from 1 species
GACAUGUGGAUUGUAUACAAGAGAGAAUGCUGGCAUGAGUAGCGAGAGGUGAGUGAGAAUCUCACCCGUCGAAAACCUAAGGAUUCCUGAGGAAGGCUCGUCCUCUCAGGGUAAGUCGGGACCUAAGCCAAGGCUGAAAAGCGUAGGUGAUGGACAACAGGUAGAAAUUCCUGUACCGGCUCGGAGCGUUUGAGAAAUGGAGUGACGCAGAAGGAUAACGGAACCGUAUGAUUGGUAGAAUACGGCUAAGCGUGUAGGUGGAAGAAGGAGGCAAAUCCCUUUCUUUGUUAACACUGAGGCGUGAUGGGGAUCGAAAUAUACAAGUAGAGAAGUCCGUGAAUCCAAGCUGCCGAGAAAAGCCUCUAUCGAGCAAAGAGUCGCCCGUACCGCAAACCGACACAGGUAGGUGAGGAGAGAAUCCUAAGACGAGCGGAAGAACUAUUGUCAAGGAACUCGGCAAAAUAGCCCCGUAAC